UUUAAUAUGGCAGAAAAAGUGCAAUAGAUUUAAACCCUAUAUAUAAAGAUUUUUUACAUCUUUUAUUAAAA
rnacentral:tRNA from 1 species